ACAGGUAAGCUUUUUAUUAAAAUCAAUUUUAUUCAAUAUAAGGUGAGUAUUUAAAAUACAUAUUUGAUUAUUUAAAGUACUUAUUUUAAAUAUAUAUGUUACUUAUUAUUUAGUAAUUUUUCAUAUUUUAGUAUUCGGCCCCAGUGGGUCCACAAGAGCGACCCACUCAGGAGCCUACUCAUGAGCCUGCCGAGCUAGAGGUGUCUUCUCAUGAGACUAUCGAGCCACAUCAUCUCGUCUAGGAGACUACAUCAUAUUCAGCACCAGACCCAUCUCAGGAGCCUACAGACCUACCUCAGGAGCCUACUCAGGCGCCCGUCGAUACACAGGUUCAUCCUUCGGCGCCUGCGAUGGCAACUCCCGACGAGGAAGAGGUCGAGUUUCCAGACCCAGCUCAGCCUGAGGUUCUGAGCGUGCCAGCGGGACUAGAUCCCAAGAAGAAGCACGUUAUAGUCAAGGGCGCAAGGGCGAGGGGAAGAGGAGAUGAUCAUGACUUGGAGCGCCCUGUUAUUAAGAGGAAAAAGGGCGAUGGAGACGAUGGCGAGGGCGGUGGGACAGGUAUGAGCCUUAGGCCUAAGGAUAGUCUCCGACAUACUACAUGUGGGACCCACUAGUAUAUACAAUAAUCUUGUACAGUUUAAGUAAAUAUUGUAUAUUUAA